rnacentral:rRNA from 1 species
UACGUAGGGUGCAAGCGUUAAUCGGAAUUACUGGGCGUAAAGCGUGCGCAGGCGGUUUUGUAAGUCUGUCGUGAAAUCCCCGGGCUCAACCUGGGAAUUGCGAUGGAGACUGCAAGGCUAGAAUCUGGCAGAGGGGGGUAGAAUUCCACGUGUAGCAGUGAAAUGCGUAGAGAUCGGAAAGAACACCAACGGCGAAAGCACUCUGCUGGGCCGACACUGACACUGAGAGACGAAAGCUAGGGGAGCGAAUGGG